rnacentral:rRNA from 1 species
UACAGAGGUCUCAAGCGUUGUUCGGAUUCAUUGGGCGUAAAGGGUGUGUAGGUGGCGCGCUAAGUCGGGUGUGAAAUUUCGGAGCUUAACUCCGAAACUGCAUUCGAUACUGGCGUGCUUGAGGACUGGAGAGGAGACGUGGAAUUCAUGGUGUAGCGGUGAAAUGCGCAGAUAUCAGGAAGAACACCCGUGGCGAAGGCGGCUCUCUGGGACGGUACUGGACGCUGAGACGCGAAAGCGUGGGGAGCGAACAGG